rnacentral:sRNA from 1 species
UAGCCACGGUAGUCGUGGCGACCAAGCAACCCGGCAACGCGAGUCAACAACAACAACCGCCCGGCCGACCCCCACCCCCACCCCCCAGGCCCGGCCCGGGGACCCCAGCACGUCCCGUCCCCUUCCCAACAUCGAUUCCGAGACCUCCGAAAAGCCUUUCCGCAGACAGAAGUGGGGAGAAGCGGAGAAGGUGCCAUGCGGGCCAGCGAGACAGUGUCGGAGGCCAGCCCCGGCUCCACCGCCAGCCAGACCGGCGUUCCUACUCAGGUGGUUCAGCAGGUGCAGGGCACCCAGCAGCGGCUGCUGGUCCAGACGAGCGUGCAGGCCAAGCCAGGCCACGUGUCGCCCCUCCAGCUGACCAACAUCCAAGUGCCCCAGCAGGUAAUGCUGCUGCACCUGGCCACCACCCUGGAAGGCUCCCUCAGGGUGGAGGACCAACCCCCUGUGGCAAGCGUGGAUCUGUCCUCACCAGGAUGGAGGGAAGAGUCCCCAUCCAGGGGCUGCCCUACCUCCUGGCUCUGGGCAGUCACCUCCCCAGGG